GUAGCUCUGGAGAAUCUCGCGAUCGAGUACCGAAGGUGCAAGGCUGAGCCGUAAAUGCGGCGCAUGCUGAAUCUCUCAGGUAAAAGGACAGGGUG
rnacentral:ncRNA from 1 species